ACCCGCUGAACUUAAGCAUAUCAAUAAGCGGAGGAAAAGAAACUAACAAGGAUUCCCCUAGUAACUGCGAGUGAAGCGGGAAAAGCUCAAAUUUAAAAUCUGGCGGUCUUUGGCCGUCCGAGUUGUAAUCUAGAGAAGUGUUACCCGCGUCGGACCGUGUACAAGUCUCCUGGAAUGGAGCGUCAUAGAGGGUGAGAAUCCCGUCUUUGACACGGACUACCGAGGCUUUGUGGUGCGCUCUCAAAGAGUCGAGUUGUUUGGGAAUGCAGCUCAAAAUGGGUGGUAAAUUCCAUCUAAAGCUAAAUAUUGGCGAGAGACCGAUAGCGAACAAGUACCGUGAGGGAAAGAUGAAAAGAACUUUGGAAAGAGAGUUAAACAGUACGUGAAAUUGCUGAAAGGGAAACGCUUGAAGUCAGUCGCGUCGUCCGGGAAUCAGCCUUCCUUCUGGUUGGUGUACUUCCUGGUCGACGGGCCAGCAUCAGUUUUGACCGGUGGAAAAAGUUCGAGGGAAUGUGGCACCUCCGGGUGUGUUAUAGCCCUCGUUCGUAUACAUCGGUUGGGACUGAGGAACUCAGCACGCCGCAAGGCCGGGAUUCGUCCACGUUCGUGCUUAGGAUGCUGGCAUAAUGGCUUUAAUCGACCCGUCUUGAAACACGG
rnacentral:rRNA from 1 species